CCUACGGGAGGCAGCAGUGAGGAAUAUUGGUCAAUGGUCGGGAGACUGAACCAGCCAAGCCGCGUGAGGGAUGAAGGUACAGAGUAUCGUAAACCUCUUUUGUCAGGGAACAAAGGCGGGGACGUGUCCCCGGCUGAGUGUACCUGAAGAAAAAGCAUCGGCUAACUCCGUGCCAGCAGCCGCGGUAAUACGGAGGAUGCGAGCGUUAUCCGGAUUUAUUGGGUUUAAAGGGUGCGCAGGCGGUCUGUUAAGUCAGCGGUCAAAGCCCGGGGCUCAACCCCGGCCCGCCGUUGAAACUGGCAGUCUCGAGUUGGAGAGAAGUAUGCGGAAUGCGCGGUGUAGCGGUGAAAUGCAUAGAUAUCGCGCAGAACUCCGAUUGCGAAGGCAGCAUGCCGGCUCCACACUGACGCUGAUGCUCGAAAGCGCGGGUAUCGAACAGGAUUAGAUACCCUAGUAGUC
rnacentral:rRNA from 1 species